AGUGAACGCUGGCGGCAGGCCUAACACAUGCAAGUCGAACGGCAGCACAGUAAGAGCUUGCUCUUACGGGUGGCGGGUGGCGGACGGGUGAGGAAUACAUCGGAAUCUACUUUUUCGUGGGGGAUAACGUAGGGAAACUUACGAUAAUACCGCAUACGACCUACGGGUGAAAGCAGGGGAUCUUCGGACCUUGCGCGACUGAAUGAGCCGAUGUCGGAUUAGCUAGUUGGCGGGGUAAAGGCCCACCAAGGCGACGGUCCGUAGCUGGUCUGAGAGGAUGAUCAGCCACACUGGAACUGAGACACGGUCCAGACUCCUACGGGAGGCAGCAGUGGGGAAUAUUGGACAAUGGGCGCAAGCCUGAUCCAGCCAUACCGCGUGGGUGAAGAAGGCCUUCGGGUUGUAAAGCCCUUUUGUUGGGAAAGAAAAGCAGCAGGUUAAUACCCCGCUGUUCUGACGGUACCCAAAGAAUAAGCACCGGCUAACUUCGUG
rnacentral:rRNA from 1 species